GAAUUUGUGAACUGCAGGACACAUGAACACCGACACGUUGAACGCAUAUUGCGCAUCGGACGUUUAAACCCGACCGAUGCACACAUCCUUGAGUGCCUACCAAGUUAUCUAUGAUGUAAUGACCAAACUGACAGCCUCAUCGCCCCGCGAUGGGAUGUCGUAACGUGGCGUACUCGGACCUACCCCAAAAGGUCCGUGGGCGCUUAAAGUGAGAGUGCUCAUAGAAACAUGGUGUGGUACAGUCGCGCUACGAUAGUGCAAGGAACGAACGGGCGCGCAUCAAGCCGCAUGGUUCGACCCUCGUAUCAACCUGGGAUGAAACACCCGCAGCCUAACAGUAUAACACCGGAAGGCGCUAGCAAAGGUGUCCUGGGUUAGCUUGGGUCGUGUAACGCUUGUGGCUUGUCGCGUACGUUUCGGGUCCGUGCCAAGCGCUUAUGAGUAGGCCUCAAGUGAUGUGUGACAACCCCCUGAAUUUAAGCAUAAAGU
rnacentral:rRNA from 1 species